CUAUAAGGACGCGCGGAUGGCCUCCCGAUUCAUGGAGGGAGAUCUCCACAAACGUCGGUUUGCCGGUCGAGAAGUGCACAAAGUUGUAGAAGAAAAUACUGGACAAAUGUGCCCGCGUGGCACCCGUGAAUUCUUUUAAGUAAAAUCCCAAAACCAAAACCCAUUCAUUCUCUAUGUUUGUGCUAAACCACUACGGAUGUAAUAUGUCUUUGGCCACCGGUGGCGCUGUUUGACGGACCGAGCGUUUACCCGCAUGUAAAGCGUUUCUCCGGACAUUCUCCGUCAGUCUACCCGGGAAAGAGCACCGAAGCGACGGUGCACCUUCGUCGGACCUCGCGCUGUGAGGAAGUCACUAAACAAAACCCCACGUCCGCCGUCGCUGCCCCUGCUGCCCUCACCAACUGGUGCUCGCACUGGACCGGUGAAGACAGGAGGCAGAGUGUUUGUUUUGGACCACAAACGAUGGCCGCCCCCCAUGAAGGCAGUUAUCGACCAGCUGCCCAACAAACACCAUGCUGACUCCAGCCUCUAUUGAGAAGAUUGUACUCAACAUCAUGGAAAAGCAGCAGCAACAUCAACAACAACAACAACAACAACCGGGGCAAAAGAAGGGACACACGAAAAGGUGUCUUUCCUGUGGCCAGCCAAAGUCUAGUUGUGCGCAGCUUCAUUGGACGACAUCUGGGAAGAAGAAGAAGGCGCUCCACACGCCUGCUGAGGGAACAUCUCUGCUGCGGAUGUGGGGGUCGACGUCUUUUCUCACCAGCAUCUAUCAUGCUAAAGUCCCUUUUUCCUCCUUUCCUUCGAUUGAUAUGGUUAUUUUAAGCCAGGGAGGCCAAUGAUCGAUCGCAAAGCAGUGCCAGUAGAUCGCCGACCAUCAAUCCUUGCUCACUAAAGGACGCAUUUAAUUUCAUUCAUAAGAAAGAUAAUGAACAAGAAUGUAUGGAAUGGCUCAAUGUUUUCUUCAUAUUAUUUGCUUUUGUUGAGGGGAUUGCCGUGACACGGGUGGCCCGGCUCUUCCUAAAUCUUUAUUAUUUGGCAACUAACAUUCAUACAAUAUCAUAAUGGGUUCAUGCCCCUGAGACGGAAUGGUGCAUCUUGGAGGAUCAAUCAUGCUGUUCAAGCUUUCUUCCUGCAUUGGUUUACGCACCCUUCACUUUGGGACUGAUCUCUAAACUUUACAACCAGAUCCUAAUU